rnacentral:rRNA from 1 species
AUUGAACGCUGGCGGCAGGCUUAACACAUGCAAGUCGAGCGAGCGGCGGACGGGUGAGUAAUGUCUGGGAAACUGCCUGAUGGCGGGGGAUAACUACUGGAAACGGUAGCUAAUACCGCAUACUAUCAGAUGAACCCAUAUGGGUUUAGUUUGUAGGUAAGGUAACGGCUUACCUAGGCGACGAUCCCUAGCUGGUCUGAGAGGAUGACACGCCACACUGGAACUGGGACACGGCCCAGACUCCUACGGGAGGCAGCAGUGGGGAAUAUUGCACAAUGGGCGCAAGCCUGAUGCAGCCAUGCCGCGUGUAUGAAGAAGGCCUUCGGGUUGUAAAGUACUUUCAGUCGGGAGGCGUUACCGACAGAAGAAGCACCGGCUAACUCCGUGCCAGCAGCCGCGGUAAUUC